AACGCACAUUGCGCCCGCCGGUAUUCCGGCGGGCAUGCCUGUCCGAGCGUCAUUUCACCACUCAAGCCCAGCUUGGUGUUGGGGCACCCGGCCGCCCGGCGGUCGGGGCCCCCAAGAACAUCGGCGGUCUCGCCAGGACCCUGAACGCAGUAACUCGCGGUAAAACGCGCUUCGUUCGGAGGCUUCCUGGCGGGCUCCAGCCGCUAAACCCCCUAAACUCCUUAGGUUGACCUCGGAUCAGGUAGGAAUACCCGCUGAACUUAA
rnacentral:misc_RNA from 1 species